GAUGAACGCUGGCGGCGUGCUUAACACAUGCAAGUCGAACGGAAAGGCCCAAGCUUGCUUGGGUACUCGAGUGGCGAACGGGUGAGUAACACGUGGGUGAUCUGCCCUGCACUUCGGGAUAAGCCUGGGAAACUGGGGCUAAUACCGGAGAGGACGAUGGGUUGGAUGCGAUUGUGGAAAGAUUUUUCGGUGUGGGAUGAGCUCGCGGCCUAUCAGCUUGUUGGUGGGGUGAUGGCCUACCAAGGCGUCGACGGGUAGCCGGCCUGGGAGGGUGUACGGCCACCCUGGGACUGAGAUACGGCCCCGACUCCUACGGGAGGCAGCAGUGGGGAAUCUUGCCCAAUGGGCGCCAGCCUGAUGCAGCGACGCCGCGUGGGGGAUGACGGCCUUCGGGUUGUAAACUCCUUUCGCUAGGGACGAAGCGUUUUGUGACGGUACCUGGAGAAGAAGCCCCGGCUAACUACGUG
rnacentral:rRNA from 1 species